AACGGAAAGGCCUGUACUUGUACAGGUACUCGAGUGGCGAACGGGUGAGUAACACGUGGGUGAUCUGCCCUGCACUAUGGGAUAAGCCCGGGAAACUGGGUCUAAUACCAUAUAGGACCACUUCUUGGAUGUUGUGGUGGAAAGCUUUUGCGGUGUGGGAUGAGCCUGCGGCCUAUCAGCUUGUUGGUGGGGUAAUGGCCUACCAAGGCGGCGACGGGUAUCCGGCCUGAGAGGGUGUACGGACACAUUGGGACUGAGAUACGGCCCAGACUCCUACGGGAGGCAGCAGUGGGGAAUAUUGCACAAUGGGCGCAAGCCUGAUGCAGCGACGCCGCGUGGGGGAUGACGGCCUUCGGGUUGUAAACUCCUUUCGCUAUCGACGAAGCCACCUUUGGUGGUGACGGUAGGUAGAUAAGAAGCACCGGCUAACUACGUGCCAGCAGCCGCGGUAAUACGUAGGGUGCAAGCGUUGUCCGGAAUUACUGGGCGUAAAGAGCUCGUAGGUGGUUUGUCGCGUCGUCUGUGAAAUCCCGGGGCUUAACUUCGGGCGUGCAGGCGAUACGGGCAUAACUUGAGUGCUGUAGGGGAGACUGGAAUUCCUGGUGUAGCGGUGAAAUGCGCAGAUAUCAGGAGGA
rnacentral:rRNA from 1 species